UCCACCGUGAGGUGGAAUUUGAAGGAAGUCCAAGGCAACACUCUGAUCCGACGAACAGGAACCUCAUAGGAGGCGGAUGCAGGCGGAUAAGUUUGCUAAACAAAAUGAAGUCCGACCGUUAUCCGGGAGCCUGCAAGCGUAAAUGAGGCGGAUAGAUGGAGUAAAAGUAACAUCU
rnacentral:ncRNA from 1 species